rnacentral:rRNA from 1 species
AGUGGGGAAUAUUGCGCAAUGGGCGGAAGCCUGACGCAGCGACGCCGCGUGGGGGAUGACGGCCUUCGGGUUGUAAACCUCUUUCGGCCCCGACGAAGCGGAAGUGACGGUAGGGGUGGAAGAAGCACCGGCCAACUACGUGCCAGCAGCCGCGGUAACACGUAGGGUGCGAGCGUUGUCCGGAAUUAUUGGGCGUAAAGAGCUCGUAGGCGGUGUGUCGCGUCGGCCGUGAAAACCUGCAGCUUAACUGUGGGCUUGCGGUCGAUACGGGCAUCACUGGAGUUCGGCAGGGGAGACUGGAAUUCCUGGUGUAGCGGUGAAAUGCGCAGAUAUCAGGAGGAACACCGGUGGCGAAGGCGGGUCUCUGGGCCGAUACUGACGCUGAGGAGCGAAAGCGUGGGGAGCGAA